UACGUAGGGGGCUAGCGUUGUCCGGAUUUAUUGGGCGUAAAGAGCGUGUAGGCGGCCAAGUAGGUCCGGUGUGAAAACUCGAGGCUUAACCUCGAGAUGUCAUCGGAAACCAUUUGGCUAGAGUACGGAAGAGGCGAGUGGAAUUCCUGGUGUAGCGGUGAAAUGCGCAGAUAUCAGGAGGAACACCAAUUGCGAAGGCAGCUCGCUGGGACGUUACUGACGCUGAGACGCGAAAGCGUGGGGAGCAAACGGG
rnacentral:rRNA from 1 species